AGCAGCCGCGGUAAUUCCAGCUCCAAUAGCGUAUAUUAAAGUUGUUGCAGUUAAAAAGCUCGUAGUUGAAUUUCGGGGUCAGUAGGUCGGUCGUGCCACUGGUAUGAACUGGUUUUACUGAUUCCUCCCUCUUGAAGAACUGUAAUGCCAUUAAUUUGGUGUUGCAGGGAAUCAGGACUGUUACUUUGAAAAAAUUAGAGUGUUUAAAGCAGGCUUUAGCUUGAAUACAUUAGCAUGGAAUAAUGAAAUAGGACGUUUGAUCCUAUUUUGUUGGUUUCUAGGAUUGACGUAAUGAUUAAUAGGGAUAGUUGGGGGCAUUAGUAUUCAAUUGUCAGAGGUGAAAUUCUUGGAUUUAUUGAAGACUAACUACUGCGAAAGCAUUUGCCAAGGAUGUUUUCAUUAAUCAAGAACGAAAGUUAGGGGAUCGAAGACGAUCAGAUACCGUCAUAGUCUUAACCAUAAACUAUGCCGACUAGGGAUCGGAUGAUGUAAUUUUUUAAUGACUCAUUCGG
rnacentral:rRNA from 1 species